GAUGAAGAACGUAGCGAAAUGCGAUAAGAAAUGUGAAUUGCAGAAUUCAGGGAAUCAUCGAAUCUUUGAACGCACCUUGCGCCUUUUGGUAUUCCGAAAGGCACACCUGUUUGAGCGUCAUGAAUACCUCAAUCUCCAUCUUUUCUUCGGAUUGAUGGGUGACUUGGAUGUUGAGCCCUGCUGGUUUGCUAUAUCAGCUGGCUUUAAACUUAUUAGCCGGCUCUGUACUGGAUCGGUUUGACUCGACGUGAUAAUAUUAUCGUUGAGGAUGCAUGUCUCAUGCAGCCGGAAAGUAUCAAAGCAGCUUCUAGCUUGCCUUUAGUGCACUUUUACAUUUUAGACCUCAGAUCAGGUGGGACUACCCGCUGAACUUAAGCAUAUCAAUAAGCGGAGGA
rnacentral:misc_RNA from 1 species